CCCGAUUUCUUUCUGCAGCUAACCUCCUGACACGUUUGCAGCUGUUCUGAGGCAGAAAGACAAUCUCCGUGUUCAGGCGAAUCCAAGCCACUGGAAAGCAGGAUAUGCCUAAUCUCAAAAUUUUACCCGAAAGAAAAAAGAUACAUUUGUGAUGGAAAGCAGAAAGACAUUACCCUUGACCAAACAGUCUAACUUAUCACCAAAGAUGGCACAAACCGUUUUAGGGUCUCUGACCGCCUUUUUAGGACUACAAGCAACACUCUUGCCAGUUCCCGGAACAGCGCUUGGU